GAUGAACGCUAGCGGGAGGCUUAACACAUGCAAGCCGAGGGGUAUGUUUCUUUCGGGAACAGAGACCGGCGUACGGGUGCGUAACGCGUAUGUAACUUGCCCUAUUGAAUGGGAUAGCCCAGGGAAACUUGGAUUAAUACCGUAUAAUAUAUUUGGUGGCAUCAUCAGAUAUUGAAAGAUUUAUCGCAAUAGGAUAGACAUGCGUAUGAUUAGGUAGUUGGUAGAGUAAUAGCCUACCAAGCCGAUGAUCAUUAGGGGGCCUGAGAGGGUGAACCCCACACUGGUACUGAGACACGGACCAG
rnacentral:rRNA from 1 species